rnacentral:rRNA from 1 species
AUUGAACGCUGGCGGCAUGCUUUACACAUGCAAGUCGAACGGUAACAGGUUAAGCUGACGAGUGGCGAACGGGUGAGUAAUGCAUCGGAACGUGCCCGGUCGUGGGGGAUAACGCAGCGAAAGCUGCGCUAAUACCGCAUACGAUCUGAGGAUGAAAGCGGGGGACCGUAAGGCCUCGCGCGAUCGGAGCGGCCGAUGUCAGAUUAGGUAGUUGGUGGGGUAAAGGCUCACCAAGCCAACGAUCUGUAGCUGGUCUGAGAGGACGACCAGCCACACUGGGACUGAGACCCGGCCCAGAGUCCUACGGGAGGCAGCAGUGGGGAAUUUUGGACAAUGGGCGAAAGCCUGAUCCAGCAAUGCCGCGUGCAGGAAGAAGGCCUUCGGGUUGUAAACUGCUUUUGUACGGAGCGAAAAGGUCUCCUCUAAUACAGGGGGCUCAUGACGGUACCGUAAGAAUAAGCACCGGCUAACUACGUGCCAGCCGCCGCCGUAA